AGGUGGUGCAUGGUUGUCGUCAGCUCGUGUCGUGAGAUGUUGGGUUAAGUCCCGCAACGAGCGCAACCCUUAAGCUUAGUUGCCAUCAUUCAGUUGGGCACUCUAAGUUGACUGCCGGUGAUAAACCGGAGGAAGGUGGGGAUGACGUCAAAUCAUCAUGCCCCUUAUGAUUUGGGCUACACACGUGCUACAAUGGACAAUACAAAGGGCAGCUAAACCGCGAGGUCAAGCAAAUCCCAUAAAGUUGUUCUCAGUUCGGAUUGUAGUCUGCAACUCGACUACAUGAAGCUGGAAUCGCUAGUAAUCGUAGAUCAGCAUGCUACGGUGAAUACGUUCCCGGGUCUUGUACACACCGCCCGUCACACCACGAGAGUUUGUAACACCCGAAGCCGGUGGAGCAACCACUUUGUGGAGCUAGCCGUCGAAGGUGGGACAAAUGAUUGGGGUGAAGUCGUAACAAGGUAGCCGUAUCGGAAGGUGCGGCUGGAUCACCUCCUUU
rnacentral:rRNA from 1 species